rnacentral:rRNA from 1 species
UACGAAGGGGGCUAGCGUUGUUCGGAAUUACUGGGCGUAAAGGGCGCGUAGGCGGCCUGUUAAGUCGAACGUGAAAUCCCCAGGCUCAACCUGGGAACUGCGUCCGAUACUGGCAGGCUUGAAUCUGGGAGAGGGAUGCGGAAUUCCAGGUGUAGCGGUGAAAUGCGUAGAUAUCUGGAGGAACACCGGUGGCGAAGGCGGCAUCCUGGACCGGUAUUGACGCUGAGGCGCGAAAGCCAGGGGAGCAAACGGG